rnacentral:lncRNA from 1 species
UGGAUUCGAACCACCAACCUUCUGAUUGGCAAGUCCUAGGCUCUGUGGUUGAGAGUCACCAUAGCGACGCAUAGUUAGAAGUAGAAGUCGGCAAAUGAAUUCCUCUUUUUUGUUCUUCAAAAUGUGGUGACCCUAAAUCAGGCCCCCACUCUAAAGUGGGGCACAUCACUUUAGCUGGGCAAUUCGCCACUCCUCCUGGCUUUCCUAAACUAUACCACCCAUUUGUUGUCUGUUUAAAUAUCCCACCUCUUACUUUGGGUAUUGUCAGGGACUAGUCUGAGGAGGAAUGGUGGAGUCUCUCCCCCCCCCCCCCGCCCGGCACUUCCCAGAGAAAAGGGAGCCAGUAUAGAUUUACAACAGUGGUUUGCAGAAGGUCAUAGUCAGAGUCUGCAGAGGGGAGAAGAUGGGAAAUAUUGGGAGAGGAGCAGCAGGGAGAAGAAGCCCGGGGGGGGGGGGCAACUGCUGACAGAUUCAGUGUCUUUAGAAAGCAUACCUGGCACACACCCCCUCGCAGGACCUGGCAGGCAUUGGGAAUGGAAGAACAGAAAGCUCAGAGGCAAGGAAGUACAGAUCAGCCCCUAUUCCAUCUUCAUGUAUGCGACAACGGCCACGAGAGUUCUGGUAGCACAAGGAUGGAAGACUGAAGAAACCCCAACUGAAGAAUCAUGGCAAGAAAACUUGACGGACUAUGCAGAACUGGCAAAACUGACAUAUAAGCUACGGGACAAGGAUAACUGUGACUUUCAGGAUGAAUGGGAACCCUUUACAAAGUAUCUGAAGACACAUCAAAGUGAACUGGACUCCUUGGCAGGUUUUGAAUAAACAUUCACAAACUUUUUAUUGAUAAUAAUCAGCUAAAUAGUUUGAGGAACUAUACGACUUUGUAACAUGCAGAAAACAGCAGUCUCAGAGAAACCAAAGACUGGAACUGAGGGAAGUCGGGG